GGCCAGGGCCGCAGUACGUGGAGCUGGGCGUGGAAUGCGAGUGCCUAGUGGGCCACUUUUGGUAAGCAGAACUGGAGCUGCGGGAUGAACUGAACGCCAGGUUAAGGCGCCCCAUGCUGACGCUCAUCAGACCCCAGAAAAGGUGUUGGUUGAUACAGACAGCAGGACGGUGGCCAUGGAACUCGGAAUCUGCUACGGAGUGUUUAACAACUUACCUGCUGAAUCAACUAGCUCUGAAAAUGGAUAGUGCUGGAGCGUCAGGCCCAUACCCGGCCGCCACCAGCAGUUUUAUCCGGUAAAG
rnacentral:ncRNA from 1 species